rnacentral:rRNA from 1 species
UCCGGAGGGUGCAAACGUUAUUCGGAAUUAUUGGGCGUAAAGAGCGUGUAGGCGGUUGGUCAAGUCAGAUGUGAAAUCCCGGGGCUCAACCCCGGAAGGGCAUUUGAAACUGGCUUACUUGAGUGCGGGAGAGGAGAGCGGAAUUCCCAGUGUAGAGGUGAAAUUCGUAGAUAUUGGGAGGAACACCGGUGGCGAAGGCGGCUCUCUGGACCGACACUGACGCUGAGACGCGAAAGCGUGGGGAGCAAACAGG